UUGCUCGCUUUGCAGCACAGAUACGAGAAAUUGGAACUAUACAGAGAGAUUAGCAGCCCCUGUGCAAGGAUGACAUGAAAAUUCGUAAAGUGUUUCAUAUAAAA